rnacentral:lncRNA from 1 species
GUCCUUCAAAACCUCAUUUUCAUAAAUUAGCCCAAAUAGCUCUAUUCCAUAAAAAAUUCAAGAACACAGCAUGAUAAUCUCACCUAUAUCUUUCAUAAUCCAUAUAAAAACAUUACAAAGCUCAUAUAAUCAUCAAUGGCACAUUUCAUAAUCUUCAACAGAAACAGAAAUUCAGACAUGGGUUUUGAAGAACACGAAGCAACGAUCACAGAAACGUAGAAAUU